AACGAACGCUGGCGGCAUGCCUAAGACAUGCAAGUCGAACGAGACCUUCGGGUCUAGUGGCGCACGGGUGCGUAACGCGUGGGAACCUGCCCUUAGGUUCGGAAUAACUCCCCGAAAGGGGUGCUAAUACCGGAUAAUGUCUUCGGACCAAAGAUUUAUCGCCUUUGGAUGGGCCCGCGUUGGAUUAGCUAGUUGGUAGGGUAAAAGCCUACCAAGGCGACGAUCCAUAGCUGGUCUGAGAGGAUGAUCAGCCACACUGGGACUGAGACACGGCCCAGACUCCUACGGGAGGCAGCAGUGGGGAAUAUUGGACAAUGGGCGAAAGCCUGAUCCAGCAAUGCCGCGUGAGUGAUGAAGGCCUUAGGGUUGUAAAGCUCUUUUACCCGGGAUGAUAAUGACAGUACCGGGAGAAUAAGCUCCGGCUAACUCCGUG
rnacentral:rRNA from 1 species